UACAGAGGGUGCGAGCGUUAAUCGGAAUUACUGGGCGUAAAGCGUGCGUAGACGGUUAUUUAAGUCGGAUGUGAAAGCCCCGGGCUCAACCUGGGAAUUGCAUUCGAGACUGAAUAGCUAGGGUACGGUAGAGGGAAGUGGAAUUUCCGGUGUAGCGGUGAAAUGCGUAGAUAUCGGAAGGAACAUCGGUGGCGAAAGCGACUUCCUGGACCAGUACCGACGUUCAGGCACGAAAGCGUGGGGAGCAAACAGG
rnacentral:rRNA from 1 species